rnacentral:rRNA from 1 species
GACGAACGCUGGCGGCGUGCUUAACACAUGCAAGUCGAACGAAGUGGCGAACGGGUGAGUAACGCGUAAUCAACCUGCCCUUCAGCGGGGGAAAACAGUUGGAAACGACUGCUAAUACCGCAUACGGAAGGAGGGGAUUGGGUCUGAUUAGCUAGUUGGGGGGGUAACGGCCUACCAAGGCGAUGAUCAGUAGCCGGUCUGAGAGGAUGAACGGCCACAUUGGGCCUGAGACACGGCCCAGACUCCUACGGGAGGCAGCAGUGGGGAAUCUUCCGCAAUGGACGAAAGUCUGACGGUGCAACGCCGCGUGAGUGAUGACGGCCUUCGGGUUGUAAAGCUCUGUUAAUCGGGACGCGGUACCGGAAUAGAAAGCCACGGCUAACUACGUGCCAGCAGCCGCGGUAAUAC